rnacentral:lncRNA from 1 species
GAAAUCCAAUUUUCCCAUUUUGGAAUCCCAGGAAAUCCAAUUUUCCCAUUUUGGAACCCCAGCCCAAAACUGGGCAUGGGAACAGCAGGGAUUGGGAUUUCGGGGAUAAAAAGAGGAGGGAGGAAUAAAUAAAUGAAUAAAUAAAUGAAUAAAUAAAUGAAUAAAUAAAUGAAUAAAUAAAUAAAUGAGAAUUCCAACGAAAACCCCAUAACGUGCAUUCAUUCAGCAUUCCCAGCCCGGAUCCCAGGAUUUCGGGAGGAAUUUGGUUCUUGUGGGAAAACUCUGGGAUUUUCCAGGAUUAUUGGGAAAAAUGGAAAACCUGGAAGGGGGAGGGGAAUCCCAGCUCAGAAAGCUCCAGGUGCACCAGGAAUUGCAGGAAUUGCAGCUGGGAUUCAGGCCUGCAAUCCCAAUCCCUGCAAUCCCAAUCCCUGCAAUCCCAAUCCCUGCAAUCCCAGUCCCUGGAAUCCCAAUCCCAAUCCCUUUAAUUCCAACCCCUGGAAUCCCAACCCCUGGAAUCCAAAUCCCUGGAUUCCCAAUCCCAGCCCCAAUCCCUGGAUUCCCAAUCCCAAUCCCUGGAAUCCCAGCCCCAAGCUGCCAUUGGGAAUAGAGCUCCAAAGGGGGAAAAUCAAUCCCAAAAUUCCCAAAUUUUCUUCCAGGCAGAACCCAGUCCUGCUGUGUCCCAUGGGAUCCCCAGGGAGGGGGAACAAAAUCUGGGAUUGGGAAUGGGAUUGGGAUGGGACAGGAAAUGGGAAUGGGAUUGGGAAUGGGAUUGGGAUGGGAUUGGAAUGGGAUCAGGAAUGGGAUUGGGAUUGGGAAUGGGAUUGGGAUGGGACAGGAAAUGGGAAUGGGAUUGGGACUGGGAUUAGGACUGGGAAUGGGAUGGGACAAGGAAUGGAAUGGGAAUGGGACUGGGAUUGGGACCCAGGCAAUCCCAGCCUGGCCUCUCCUCAUUCCCAGUGCUGA